rnacentral:misc_RNA from 1 species
GGGAAAUGCUAUAAAAGGAAAGCCUACUGCAAGUUCUUUAUUUUUAUUUUUUUUUCAAUGGUUAUCCUCUUUUUAUGUUUUUGGUUUUAGCCAUGUUAUAGCAAUGGAGGCCAUAAUAAUGUAUUAAAGUUGAUGAAAGAGAGCAAUAGUUUUCACUUUUCACAUAGAUGAUUAUGGUGCCCCUUGUAUAAAAGCUUCCCUAACCAGAAGUCCUUGCUACUGAUUCUGUCUGCUGUUCAUUUAGUGGGAUUGUGAAUGUAAAU